UACGUAGGGUGCAAGCGUUGUCCGGAAUUAUUGGGCGUAAAGAGCUCGUAGGCGGUCUGUCGCGUCGGCUGUGAAAACCCGUGGCUCAACCCCGGGCCUGCAGUCGAUACGGGCAGACUAGAGUGCGGUAGGGGAGACUGGAAUUCCUGGUGUAGCGGUGAAAUGCGCAGAUAUCAGGAGGAACACCGGUGGCGAAGGCGGUUCUCUGGGCAUUACCUGACGCUGAGGAGCGAAAGUGUGGGGAGCGAACAGG
rnacentral:rRNA from 1 species